rnacentral:misc_RNA from 1 species
AAGUCGUAACAAGGUUUCCGUAGGUGAACCUGCGGAAGGAUCAUUAAUGAAUUAAACUUGGUCAAGCUGAUGCUGGUCCUUCGGGACAUGUGCACGCUUGCCACCAAAUCUUUGACCACCCGUGAACCUUUUGUAGACUUGGAAAUAUUUGCUCGAGGAUAUAUCUCGGAUUGAGGACUGUGUUGUGCUUUACCAGCCGACUGUCCUUGUGUUUCUCAGUCUAUGUUCUUUACCUUAUACUCCAUAUGCAUGUCUUGGAAUGUAUUGCUGGGCACAAGUGCCUCUAAAUAAUAUACAACUUUCAACAACGGAUCUCUUGGCUCUC